AGUACGGCGAGUGAAGCGGGAAAAGCUCAAAUUUGAAAUCUGGUAGCCUCAGGCUGCCCGAGUUGUAAUCUAUAGAAACGUUUUCCGCGUUGGCCCAUGUACAAGUCUCCUGGAAUGGAGCGUCAUAGAGGGUGAGAAUCCCGUCCUUGACAUGGACUACCAGUGCUUUGUGAUACGUUUUCAAAGAGUCGAGUUGUUUGGGAAUGCAGCUCAAAAUGGGUGGUAAAUUCCAUCUAAAGCUAAAUAUUGGCGAGAGACCGAUAGCGAACAAGUACCGUGAGGGAAAGAUGAAAAGCACUUUGGAAAGAGAGUUAAACAGUAUGUGAAAUUGUUGAAAGGGAAACGAUUGAAGUCAGUCAUGUCUAUUGGACUCAGCCGGUUCUGCCGGUGUACUUCCUUUAGAUGGGGUCAACAUCAGUUUUGAUCGCUGGAAAAGGGCAGGAGGAAUGUAGCACUCUCGGGUGAACUUAUAGCCUUCUGUCGUAUACAGUGGUUGGGACUGAGGAACGCAGCAUGCCUUUAUGGCCGGGGUUCGCCCACGUACAUGCU
rnacentral:rRNA from 1 species